GUCGAACGGCAGCACGGGUGCUUGCACCUGGUGGCGAGUGGCGAACGGGUGAGUAAUAUAUCGGAACGUACCUUAUCGUGGGGGAUAACGCAGCGAAAGCUGCGCUAAUACCGCAUACGCCCUGAGGGGGAAAGCGGGGGACCGUAAGGCCUCGCGCGAUUAGAGCGGCCGAUAUCUGAUUAGCUUGUUGGUGGGGUAAAAGCCCACCAAGGCGACGAUCAGUAGCUGGUCUGAGAGGACGAUCAGCCACACUGGGACUGAGACACGGCCCAGACUCCUACGGGAGGCAGCAGUGGGGAAUUUUGGACAAUGGGAGCAACCCUGAUCCAGCAAUGCCGCGUGGAGUGAAGAAGGCCUUCGGGUUGUAAAGCUCUUUUGUCAGGGAAGAAACAGCAGCUCUAACACAGUCUGCGAAUGACGGUACCUGAAGAAUAAGCACCGGCUAACUACGUGCCA
rnacentral:rRNA from 1 species